AACGAACGCUGGCGGCAUGCCUAACACAUGCAAGUCGAACGAGACCUUCGGGUCUAGUGGCGCACGGGUGCGUAACGCGUGGGAACCUGCCCUUAGGUUCGGAAUAACUCCCCGAAAGGGGUGCUAAUACCGGAUAAUGUCUUCGGACCAAAGAUUUAUCGCCUUUGGAUGGGCCCGCGUUGGAUUAGCUAGUUGGUAGGGUAAAAGCCUACCAAGGCGACGAUCCAUGGCUGGUCUGAGAGGAUGAUCAGCCACACUGGGACUGAGACACGGCCCAGACUCCUACGGGAGGCAGCAGUGGGGAAUAUUGGACAAUGGGCGAAAGCCUGAUCCAGCAAUGCCGCGUGAGUGAUGAAGGCCUUAGGGUUGUAAAGCUCUUUUACCCGGGAUGAUAAUGACAGUACCGGGAGAAUAAGCGCCGGCCAACUCCGUG
rnacentral:rRNA from 1 species